CGCUGGCGGCGUGCCUAAUACAUGCAAGUCGAGCGCAGGAAACUUUAGUAGAUCCCUUCGGGGUGACACUAAGUGGAAUGAGCGGCGGACGGGUGAGUAACACGUGGGCAACCUACCUAUAAGACUGGGAUAACUCGUGGAAACAGGAGCUAAUACCGGAUAACCAGUGCGUUCGCAUGAACGCACUUUAAAAGGCGGCAUUUGCUGUCACUUAUAGAUGGGCCCGCGGCGCAUUAGCUAGUUGGUGAGGUAACGGCUCACCAAGGCAACGAUGCGUAGCCGACCUGAGAGGGUGAUCGGCCACACUGGGACUGAGACACGGCCCAGACUCCUACGGGAGGCAGCAGUAGGGAAUCUUCCGCAAUGGACGAAAGUCUGACGGAGCAACGCCGCGUGAACGAUGAAGGUUUUCGGAUCGUAAAGUUCUGUUGUUAGGGAAGAACACGUACCGUUCGAAUAGGGCGGUACCUUGACGGUACCUAACGAGAAAGCCCCGGCUAACUACGUGCCAGCAGCCGCGGUAAUACGUAGGGGGCAAGCGUUGUCCGGAAUUAUUGGGCGUAAAGCGCGCGCAGGCGGUCCUUUAAGUCUGAUGUGAAAUCUUGCGGCUCAACCGCAAGCGGUCAUUGGAAACUGGGGGACUUGAGUACAGAAGAGGAAAGUGGAAUCCAUGUGUAGCGGUGAAAUGCGUAAAUAUAUGGAGGAACACCAGUGGCGAAGGCGACUCUCUGGUCUGUACUGACGCUGAGGCCCAAAACGUUGGGAGCAACAGGAUUAAAUACCU
rnacentral:rRNA from 1 species